rnacentral:rRNA from 1 species
UGGGGAAUUUUGGACAAUGGGGGCAACCCUGAUCCAGCCAUGCCGCGUGCGGGAAGAAGGCCUUCGGGUUGUAAACCGCUUUUGUCCGGGAAGAAAAGAUCUCUCCUAAUACGGGAGGUUCUUGACGGUACUGGAAGAAUAAGCACCGGCUAACUACGUGCCAGCAGCCGCGGUAAUACGUAGGGUGCGAGCGUUAAUCGGAAUUACUGGGCGUAAAGCGUGCGCAGGCGGUUCGCUAAGUCUGAUGUGAAAGCCCCGGGCUCAACCUGGGAAUGGCAUUGGAAACUGGCGAGCUUGAGUGUGGCAGAGGGGGGUGGAAUUCCACGUGUAGCAGUGAAAUGCGUAGAGAUGUGGAGGAACACCGAUGGCGAAGGCAGCCCCCUGGGCUAACACUGACGCUCAGGCACGAAAGCGUGGGGAGCAAACAGGAUUAGAUACCCUGGUAGUCCACGCCCUAAACUAUGUCAACUGGGUGUUGGGGAAGCGAUUCCUCAGUACCGUAGCUAACGCGUGAAGUUGACCGCCUGGGGAGUACGGCCGCAAGGUUA